CUACGGGGGGCUGAAGUGAGGAAUAUUGCACAAUGGGGGGAACCCUGAUGCAGCAAUGCCGCGUGGAGGAUGACGCAUUUCGGUGUGUAAACUCCUUUUAUAUGUCAAGAAAAUGACGGUAGCAUAUGAAUAAGCACCGGCUAACUCCGUGCCAGCAGCCGCGGUAAUACGGAGGGUGCAAGCGUUACUCGGAAUCACUGGGCGUAAAGGACGCGUAGGCGGGUUGGAAAGUCAGGUGUGAAAGCCUACAGCUUAACUGUAGAACUGCACUUGAAACUUCUAAUCUAGAGUAUGGGAGGGGGAGAUGGAAUUAGUGGUGUAGGGGUAAGAUCCGUAGAUAUCACUAGGAAUACCUAAAGCGAAGGCGAUCUCCUGGAACAUUACUGACGCUAAGGCGUGAAAGCGUGGGGAGCAAACAGGAUUAGAUACCCGUGUAGUC
rnacentral:rRNA from 1 species